AGCUAAAAAACAUGGAGCAGUCCAAAUAAAAAAAUCUUCAUAAAUGCUAAAGUCUUCUAAAUUUCAUAUUUAGAAUCACUUUAUGGUAAAGCAGUAAUUAAUGAAUUAUAUAACCCACAGAAAUACUGCCUAUUUCAAACACACAAACUCAUACGCUCCUGCUUUCAUUCUUUCCCUCCUGUCCUAAACUAUUCAAAUGAAAGGUCUAGAGGAGGUCAUUAUAGUUCAAUAUAAGAUUCCUUCAGUUUUUGAAAACCAUUAAAGAACACUAUGAAGGAAGAUAAAAUGCAAAAUAUUACAUUAAUUUUGAGUUUAAAAAGCAACAGCAGCAUUUUAACAUGUUUCAAGCUGUAAUUUAUAAUACCUCUUUCCCCCCCCUUAUAAAAUCUCCAUUUUGUCUCUAGUCCUUUCCUCUCCCCUCUAUUAAUUCAGUAUUUUAUUUUCCUCUUAUAUGUCUCUCCUUCUCUUUUUUUGGGGGGAGGGGACAGUGUGAGGGCCGGGCCUUGCAAGGGGCAUUAAGAGAACUUUCUGAAGUAACAGUAAUGUCCUGUAUCUCAAUAAAGGUUUGAAUUUAUACAAACGAAUACAUUCAUAAUUUGUACAUUUUACUGUAUACCAACUUUACGUCAAAAGAAAAAAUACUGAAAUCCAGUAAUUAUAUGCAUGCUGAAGUCUUUGGAGGAGAAGUAUAUACAUGUCUACAUUUUACUUUUGGCUGGAGGGAUAAAUAGGUAAUAAAGCAAGUACAGUAAAAUGUGAAUUGUAGAAUGUAGGGUGUCACUGCAAAAAAAAUUCUUUAAACAAUUCUAAGUUUGAAAUUUUCCAUACUGACAUACUGGAAAGAAAAAUCAAUAAUGUUCCUUUUCAAUUAGAAAAUAUAAAAUAAGAUUCCACAAUAGCUUAAGAAACACAGUUACACCCUAACUGCUUUGGCUCAAUGGAUAGAGCGUCGGCCUGCGGACUGAAAGGUCCCAGGUUCGAUUCUGGUCAAGGGCAUGUACCUUCAUUGCGGGCACAUCUCCAGUAGGAGGUGUGUAGGAGGCAGCUGAUUGAUGUUUCUCUCUCAUCAAUGUUUCUAACUCUCGAUUCCUGUCCCUUUCUCUGUAAAAAAUCAAUAAAAUAUAUUAAAAAAAGAAAAAAGAAACACAGUUACUCAACAAAAAAGUACAAGAUUUAUGGAGAAUAAAAGUACAUAAAAAAGAUCUUUAAAAAAUGAAGCUAUAUACCAUGAUCACAGAUGAGAAUACUGAAAAUGUCUAUUUUCCUAAGUUAAUCCACAAAUCUAAUGCAAAUCCAAUAAAAACUCCAGAUGAAAUAUUUUUAAGGAACUUAAAGUUACUCUAAAAUUUUUAAAAUAAGUAUAACUAUAAGCAAAAAAAUAAUUCUAUAUGGGGGAACUUAUAGAAACACGAAGAAUAAUAAAAAUAAUAUGAUCUUGACAAAAAGAAGAGAACAGUGUUUACAUGGGAAUUUGAAGUGCAUGUGGGAUCAAAGACCUAAACAUCAGAACAAUGUUCAGGAGAAAAUUUUCAUGUCCUGCAGAUGGGAAGGAACUUUUAAAACAAGACUCGAAAAGCACAAAUCAUAAGGUUUAAAAUUAAUGGAUGAGGACAGCAAAAUUAAUUAUUGCUCUUCCGUGAAUUAAUUUCAAAAAUAUUCAAGGUAGAAAUCAGUAAGAAAAAGAAAGCUUAAUAUAAAAAAGGGCAAUGGUACAGGCAAUUCAUAGAAAGUCCUGGAAUAACAAGUAUAAGAGGCAUUCAAACUCUCUAGUAUUCAAAGAAAUUCAAACAAAAAUGAGAUACCACUAAUACUCAUUAGAAUAUAAAAAUCAGAAAAGUGGUAAUACCAAAUGCUGGUAAGGAGGUGCAGAAAUGAAAAUCCUUAGAAAGUAGUACUGGGAGUGUUGCCACCUAGGAAACAAUCUUCUGGUGUUUAUUGAAAUCAUGUAUGAAACGACCCUCCUAAGACUUAUUCUGGGAGAAACUACUUCACAAGUCCAGAAGUAGAAAUGUAUUUUACAUUGUACUGUAUCAUUGCAGUGAUAUUUAUAGCAACAAAGAACUAGAAGCAACUGAAAUAUCCAACACAAGGAUAACAGAUAAGUAAAAUGAGGUAUUAACUUCCAACAGGAGAAAAGAAAUUAACUAGAUUUACAUAUAGCAACUCAGAUAGAUUUUAAACUGAAUGAUUACAAAAAUAAGAGACUUUCAGCAUUAUUCUAAUUAUGUAAGUUAAAAAUACAUAAUCCUGCAAAACAUAUUUUAUAAGCAUAUAUAUUCAAGGAUACACCACAGACAGAACAAUGUCUUUGUUGGAUAAAGCAAUGGGAAUGGAAAUGGGCAGGGGGAGGAAGAUGAUAAAAGAGGGCCCUUACACAACCACUGAUACUACAUCAGGAACUAGAGUAUGAUUUCACUCAGCUCCACACCUGAAGCCAAAGGGAAAAAUGAAGAGGAAACACCUAUACAAUCGGAUAUUUUUAAGAAGCAGUUAAAAGUGGACAAUAUGGAGUGCUCCAUAAUAUAAAUAGAAUAUUAAGUAUAAUUACUUAGGUCAGCAUAGUUACAAACUCUCAAUUACUUAAUGGCUGAUUAUAGAUCAGCUAGACUCCUCAUUGUUCAGAAUUUGGUCAUUUCACUGUACAGAGGACUACCAGUUAAGAAGAAGAGUUCAAGCAUCCCACCCUCCAUUUUUUUGUUUGUUGCUAGAAGACAUAAUUAAGGUCACUCUGGCAGAAAGUUUAUAGUAAUGACUAACACUGGAGUUUUCAAUUAGCUAUAAAGUUUAGCUGUAAGAAUUAACUGCUAAUUAUAUGUUAAAUAAAAUGGAAAAGUAAUCUCCUAUAUUACUACUAUUUUCUACUCAAAUAUGGAAAGUGAUGGAGAGAAAAGAAAAGAACACCUGGGACGUACCAUGAAUAGUUCACUCUUUCCCCAGGAGUAAGAUGGUUGGGGGGCACUUACCUUUUAAGGGAGCGUUUACAAUACUAACCUUGCAGAGCCUCUGAAGUCUUUAAACUCUAUAUUGAGAAGAGGCAAGAAGUUGCUUUUACAGAACGGGCAAGUUGUAUUCAAAUUUGAAUCAUCUGCUGUCCAUCCAGCCAUAAUUUCUUCGUCAUAAACUAAGGCCCCACAAGCUCUGCACUGUGAACAACUUGACAUCAAAACCUAAGAGCAGAAACGUGCAGACACUGAAAAGCGCCACAGUGAAGACCUCAAGAGACCAUUCUACCUUAAUAAACAUAGAAUUUUAUUUCUUCUGUUGAUCCAAUUUGGAAUUAGGAGUUCAAUUACUUUACAGGUAAAUCUACCAGUUUAUUGCCUUGCUUACAAAGAUAUCAAAGAAAUUCGACAAAAUGAUUUAUUAUUCUGUUGACAAGGGUAUCAUAGGAUUCUGUUAAAUGUCACUUUGAAAUAAAAGUAUUGUCACAGUCACUUUAUCAUGAGCAGAAAUAGAACUUUACCUCCAUUGCACAAUUCUGAAAGAUGCUAGACAUGCUGGUGUUUUGAGAAGAACCAUGAUCUGAUUUUUCAAAAUCCUGUCCUUUUAUGCCUCUUGGAAGUAGAAGUUCUCCUAGAAAGAAGUAACCAUUAUAACACAUUAUGUAAGAGGCUGUCCUUACUCUUAGCAAAUGCAUACUUAAGCAUUUGGGGGGAAGUAUAUGACAUUUGCUAUUUAUUUUCAAAUGGCUUAAUAUAAAAAGGUGUAUGUAUUUUAUAUAUAUUAUCAGAAUCACCUGGGGAAUUUGCUUAAAAAUAUAUACAAAUGUUCAAGCUCUAGGCUAAUAUUUUUUGAGACUGAGUCUGUGGGAUAGGGCCUUAGAACUGUGUAUUUUUAACCAGCUUUCUGCUUGAAUACCAGAGUUUGAGAGUUCCUCUGCUGAAACAGUGAAAUCUUAGCUGUUAUUUUUUAAAAUUAUAAUUCUAUUUUAUCCAGCUUUCUAUUAUGAAAAAGUUCAAAUGUCCUGAGAAGUUGAAAGAAUCAUAUAGUGAAUGAUCAUAUAUUCUCCACCUAGGUGAUUCUGAUACACACUGAAGUUUAAGAACGAAUGAUAUAAUCCACAAAUAUACACAACUAAAAUCAUUAGCUGAAGUAUUUGUAGACCACAUAAAAUAACAGUGACAGUAUGGUGUGGCUAUAUUCAAAAUCUAUUUGUUGAGAUCAUCUCAUCAAAUGAGGCUUACUGUACGUGUCAUGGGAGAAGGGAAAGUAAGGGCAUAUAUUAGGAGAGGACAGUCCUUCCCCAUACCUGCCGAGUAAUGGGAUUUUCCUAUAUCUCCACUGCUGCUGCUACUGCCAAGGCUUGUGUUACUCUGGGUAAGUUCACUGGGGACCAAUGCUGAGAUACUUGUGUUAGGCGACAUAUUCUCCUCCAAAACAUGGUCUUCAAGGCCAGCUGGGAAGCUGUAAUCUUUAUUAUUAUUAGUUUCCUCCUUUAAUUAAAAAAAAAAAACACCAAAAAAACACAAAACCACACACACAUAAGUAAUACCUUCACCAAUGAGAAUAUAUUUAUUCCACCUUUUUCAGAAUUAAACUCCUUUAUAAUCCUUAAAUAAAUCACACUCCCCUGCCCCGUAUUUUUCAAAACGAUGAACUUCUUCUAUUAUUUGUAAUUUCCCUUCCAAACUCGCAAACAUUCAGGCAAUGACCUAUUUAAUACUUUCUAAGAUUUUGCUGGGCCCCUGGUUAUGUAUGGGGUAUCGGAUGCCUCUCAAUACUCAGUAUCAUAAAAUGAAGGGACUCUAGGAGUUCACUGUCCAGUGGGAUCGGGGAUGGCAACACAAGUGAGUAGGAGCUUUAGUCAGACAGAGCCAGAGUGAAAUCUUGGCUCCCCAUCACGUAUUAAGUAUCUGACCUUACAAAAAUUACUUCUCUAACAUUUAAUUUUAUCAUCUGAAAAUAUGAGUCAUUUAAAAUAAGGUGGUUGUGCCCUAACCGGUUUGGCUCAGUGGAUAGAGCGUCAGCCUGUGGACUCAAGGGUCCCAGGUUCGAGUCUGGUCAAGGGCAUGUACCUUGGUUGCGGGCACAUCCUCAGUAGGGAGUGUGCAGGAGGCAGCUGAUCGAUGUUUCUCUCUCAUCGAUGUUUCUAACUCUCUAUCCCUCUCCCUUCCUCUCUGUAAAAAAAUCAAUAAAAUAUAUUUUAAAAAAUAAAAUAA